rnacentral:misc_RNA from 1 species
AUUUGCUUUUAUUAAUUACAAUCAACUGUAUCUCUUAGGCGCUCCUCCCCUUUUAUUGAAACCCACUUGCAUGCUAAAGGCAAGCCUUUCUAUAGCAUAUUAAAAAAAGGGGGAUAAGAAACUGCGAAGUCCCCAAAAAAGGAACACUUCCCUCCUCACUUUCCUUUAAUCUUUACGGAUACAGGACACUGUUGAGUUCAAAACGGAACAGCAAUUUCAAGUCGAAAGCGAUGCUGAACCUGAAAGCUCUCUAUCAAACAAACCCUAUACA